AUACGGAGGAUGCGAGCGUUAUCCGGAUUUAUUGGGUUUAAAGGGAGCGUAGGCGGGAGCUUAAGUCAGCGGUUAAAUGGUGCGGCUCAACCGUGCCCUGCCGUUGAAACUGGGUUUCUUGAGAGUGCAAGAGGCGGAUGGAAUUCAUGGUGUAGCGGUGAAAUGCUUAGAUAUCAUGAAGAACUCCGAUUGCGAAGGCAGUCCGCUGGGGCACGUCUGACGCUGAUGCUCGAAGGUGCGGGAAUCAAACAGGAGUAGAUACCCUGGUAGUCCGCACGGUAAACGAUGAUUACCCGCUGUCGGCGGUAGACAGUCGGCGGCCAAGCGAAAGCGAUAAGUAAUCCACCUGGGGAGUACGCCGGCAACGGUGAAACUCAAAGGAAUUGACGGGG
rnacentral:rRNA from 1 species